AUUUCUGAACUUCAGGAAUUUUGAAACUUGCUUUCUAAGAAACAUAUUGGAUUCUUCUGUGUUGCUCCUGUUAGCUAACAGAUAAGAUCUGCAGCGCCAACUUCUCAUGGGACUCACAUCACUGUUAGAACUUAUAUGGGUAGAUCAAGCCUUCUUUUACUAGGGGAAGAAGAUAAAGAGCUACCCAGCAUACAAAAAGUAAGAGGACUCUCAUGUUGAUGCAAAUAGUGAACAGUGAAGAAUGACGGAUUCAAACAUCACAAACGAUGUAAGUGGCGCUGGUAGCAAGAAAGUUUCUCACUGUAGACCACAGUUCUGCUGAAACAG